UGUGGUUAGGUUUAGUGGGUGUUAGUUGGCUAUGUGGGCUUCACCUAUUCUUCUUUACUUAUUCUUCUUUACAACACUCCCCCUUGGAGACCACAUGUCCCUAGAUUGGUUGCCUCAUUAAAACCAUGCUUGGAGAAAAACCCAGUGAGGUAGAAAACUGAUGGAAGGAAGAAAAAAGAGUACAGCAAUCUGUAUAGCAUACUUCUGGAUGCUCCCCCUGAUUAAUAUCUCCCCCUGAUGUCUUCAUGACUAUCUUUUGGAGUGAGAAUCUUUCGGAGUGAGUGGAGGAUAUAGCCAUUAAUAAUUCUCGUAGUUGAGUAAGUAAAUAUAUUUCCAGUGAGCUAUCUCUAUGUAAAUCAUAUAAAUUUUCAGAGUCCGCGUUUCUAACAAAACUUGGGCUAUUUGUAAGUUCACUUGAAAGAAUAUGCCCGUACAUGGUGUUAUGCGGAGAUAGCAUCAAAUAUACCUCACAUCAUCCCAAAAUGAUGGUGAUGGAGUUGAGCCAUAUCUGGAAAAUAUGAUGUCCGGUCCAAUAUACUUCCGGAAAAUCAUUAAAGUGUCCAACGGAUAAUCCUCAUAAAAAUGCUUCAAUACUUUCUUAGUAUAAGCAAGAAUCUCGUUGGCAUAAUGCUCGAUCCUUAAGUCGAGACAAAUAUUUCUUGAACUCUUCAGAAGCUUUAAUGUGUUGCAAACACAUUAUAAUCAAUGUACUCACUGAGGUAAUUUAUGCAUAUUAAUAUUGAGUACAAAUUUUGUGCUUCAAGCACAUGUCCUUUAGGGACUUGCUUUAUGCAAUGUCAAUCCUCUCAACGGAUUUUGUUUAAAAGGGAUUAAACUUUAUGACACAUUAUAUAGCUUUAACCCAGCUAUUUAUACAUCUUUAGGAAAUCGCUUCUGGCGAUAUGCUCCGUGCAUUUAAUAACCCUUAAAGAUAAUAUGUUGGUCUCCGUAAUUGUGUAAUAAGGGGGGCACAAUUGAAUCUGUAAAUAUGGAGAAAACCCAACAUUCUUUGUUUCUGCCAGAAACAGUGUGUCAUACAAAGUAGGUAUAUUCCCUUUUAUUCUGAACACCCAAGUAUAAAUUUCAGUAUUAACAUCUUUUGGGGUUCGUAUUGUGGGUUUGUUCUUUCACGUUCAUUCUCAUCUAUAAUGGAAUUACCUCAUUCCAUUUUGGCCAAGGAUAUUGUCGACAUUUAAUAACUGAACGUGGUUCCAAUCAACACAGCCCAUUGAUGAUUUGAGUAGCUACUCCAAAACUAAAAAUUGUCAUUCAUCAAUUCAUGAUCUCAUCAUUCUCAUUUGCACGUGCAUGCAUCAAUUAUAAGCAUUUCUUUGCUUUUGGGUACCCAAGCCACUUCAUGGGGCUUUUAUUAUGUGAGAAUGUGGAUUAUAACCUCCAAUGGAGCGUUAUUUUACAGUCGGGCGUGGAUAAUCUCUAUUUUAGGGAGUUGGAACAUUUAGAACCCAUAUAUCUGUCAUGCUGCAGGCAUGCCACAGAUUAAUACAUACAUGUCAAUUAAUUUCUGGGACUAACCCAUACAUACGCAUUAGGCGUGCACAAUAUCAAUAUUGACAUGUCAAAGGAUUGUCCUUUCGGGACUUCAAUCCACAUCAUUUGCUACGCAACAGGCGUGCAUCAUAUUGAUCACUGCUAUACCUAUAUCCUGUUCUUAUGGGAAUUUAAUCUGUGUAGUGUAUUAUCAAUGUAUCCAACUUGCAAUCUGUAAAAUUUGCAUUAAUAAUUCAUGGAUACAUACAAGCCAUUCUUUUGGAACAGACUUAUCUCCCCAUUUGGUUACCUUUCAAGAUAAAAUAUCAAAUAAGUAUAUAAGCACAAAUACUGCUUACAUCCUUAGGUGGGAGAAACUUUUCUCAAGUAUCAUUCAAGCUCGUAUCGGCCCAGUAAAUAUAAUGUAGCGCUUGAUGAUCUAGUUAUAUCCUGCAAGAGCAAAAUCACAACUCUUUUCUCUGUCAAAAACAAAUAACCCUCAGAGUUAGGAUCACUCCAUGGAUUCUUUCUUCAGAUGUUCAUUCUAAAGAAAUAAAAUCUCUUAUGAACAGAGAGUUAUAAAAAGAGAAAAAAUGCAAAAAUAAUGUGAUAUUGAUUGCAAGAGAAGGUAAGCAAUCAAGGAAGAAAGCUGGUGGGAGCAGACAACAAGCUCAGCAAUCAAGGAAGGAAGCUGGUGGGAGCAAACAACAAGCUCUCAUUUCUUCUAGUCUAGAAGAACUUCCGGAGAUUAGAGCAUAAGGUUGCCUUCACAGUUCCCUGAUGUGGCGGAAACGUGAUCAGGGAUAGUCUCUCUUCCUGAAUGGAUGAUUAGAGAUAGUCUUGCUUCUCGGGCAUAUUAAGUGCUCACUGAUAAGAAAAACAAGUAGAUAUCGCAUCACUAGGUAUGGAGAAAAACUGGAUGUCUUCUGCAAAGAAAAUUUCGUUAGUAACACAUUUAUACACAAAUAAGAGGAAUAGGUAGAACCGGUGAAUUUCAAAUUAACCAUAGGAAAAUUGCGAGAUUCUCGGGGUGCUUUUGAAAAAAUAGCUCCGUGAAAUCCGCAAAGCAAGAUCGGCUUUUGACGAAAAUAAUACUUUGAAAACGCCGAAAGUGCCGACAAACAUUAAUGGAGGCCACGUGAAGUUUUGGAAUCUGGAAAGAAAAAGAGAAUAUGGGGAUCCGAAAAGAUAUUGGGAUCCUGAAAAACUGUAGCCAUAUUUCCUCCUAUAGAUAUUGCCUUUGCAAAACUUGAUUGGAGCAACUGCGUUUCAACUUAACUUCCUUCAUUUUCUGAAACUUUAGUUUUCUUAAGACUUUCUUCGAAACCUUCUUAAAAAUGGCUUCCUCUUCUUCCUGCCCAAAUUAUUUCAAUUUAAAUGAUACUCCCACAACAACCAGUGACGCCAAAGUUUGGCGUCCAUCCUUUGUAUCCCAAAAUCGUCAUCUCACAGUUAAUGAUUCUGUGAUGAUGAAUGAUGCUACUGCUGUCAUAGUAGCUAGGAAUUUCAUUACUCCAAUGGAUGAAAUGCUGUUAACAGGGAGGUCUGAGGAAGAGGCUAUUGAUGACUCAAUGGCUUUUAGCAUUCAGUGUGCUGCUUCUGUUUCUAACAUGGCUGAUCGUUUGCGUGCUAGAGCAGACGAGGUUGAGAGGCUAACAACUGAAAAUUCGUCUCUCCAAAGAAUGCUUCAUGAGUCUCAACAGGAGGUUGAGAAACUUAAAGGAGAGAAUAAUGCCUUGUUGAAACUGGUGAGUUCGUACUCUGUUGAUACACUGAGAAGGCUAGACAUGCUGCAGGUCUCCAAUGAAAGAAUUUUGGGAGACCACGAGAGGCUCAUGGCUAAGCUUAAGAGGCGUCGUCCUCUUCCUUCAGAAGCUUCCAGAACAUAAUGUAAUUUUAUAGAUUUUACAGGGCCUGCACCUUCAUUGCAGGUGGAAAAAUCUAUCUGUUGUAUGUUCCUUUCAUGUUAUAAUAAUUGCGCACAUUCUUAAACUUGCACUUGUGGUUUUUUUUAUUUUUUUUUUAUACGUCUUUUCAAAAUGACGGUUUGGAACCUUGUGCCUUAUAGGUUCAAAUAACCACAUCGACUCUCCCAAAUUUCAUAUUUCAAUGUAUGGAACUUUUGGCCUGGGCUAAACACAAACUCAGAAUUUAUUCGCCCUUUUCAAAUGGACAUGAAAUAUGAAUAGAGUAAAAGCCAUGCUAAUAUCUCAUAUAUUUGGGUUCAUGAGCUUCCGGCCCAGAUAUAACAAAAUGUGAGGGGAGCCUCAAUUCAUCAUUCUCUUAUGCCAAAGAAAUAUGUGGCGUACCACAAUUUGCAAUAAUACCUCAAGGGUUGUCCAUUUAAUUGUUGGAACUUCAGGUUCUCAACACUGUUAGAUUUUGAACCUCAAGCUAAAAUCACAUGUUCUCAUGGUAUGGACAUUUUUAAAAUUUUCUGUACAUAUUUCUGGACUUCAAGCCCUUACAUAAUUGUCCAUAUCUUGAGGAACUUCUGGCAUCUCAUUUAAUUGCUCAUUCAUGAGUUUAAGGAACUGCAGGUUCCCUUUUUGAAUAGUGAUGGUUUACCCAAAAUGGUUAAUAUUUAUGUAUACGUUACUAUUCAUAUAUCCGGUACUAUUCAUCAAGUCAUGAAUACGUAUCUAUUCAUGUGUACAGUACAUUUGCCAGUACAGUUAUCAUCCAUGUGUACGGCAUUAUGAACCAAUACGGUACUGUUACAUCAUUAAGGAACCCCAGGUCCUUAUUUACAUGUCAGGGAUCAAGGACCCUCAAGUCCAAUCACAUGUUUACAAAUAUAGUACCGGAGAGACUGCCAGCUCUCAUAUCAACGUCAUCAUCAAGGAUCUUCAAGUCCUGAUGUAAUUGUAUGAUGAAGAUCAAGGAACUUCUGGUCCUGAUCUGCAUACUGUAAAAACUCAUCAUACAGCACAAUUAAUCCAUAAAAUAAAUUACAGGUAAAUAAAUUACUGGUAUGGACGAUAAACCCGCACCAUACUUUAAAUAAAUAUAAAUGUGCGGUAAAAUAAAUUUAUAAAUUAAAUUGCUUGCUGUAUGGACGUUAAUCCCGCACCAUACUUUAAAUAAAUGUAAAUGUGCGGUAAAAUAAAUUUAUAAAUUAAAAUAAAUGUAAAUGUGCGGUAAAAUAAAUUUAUAAAUUAAAUUGCUUGCUGUAUGGACGUUAAUCCCGCACCAUACCUUAAAUAAAAUUAAAUGUGCGGUAAAGUAAAUUCAUAAAUUAAAUUGCUUGUUGUAUGGACGUUAAUCCCGCACAAUACCUUAAAUAAAUGUUAAAUGUGCGGUAAAGUAAAUGUGCUUGUAUGGGUAUUAAUUCUGCUCCAUACAUUUAAAUAAAAGUAAAGGCGUGGACGAUAAACCCGCACCACCCUUUUAAAUAGAUAAUGUUGUAUGGGUAAUAAACCUACACCAUACAGUAAAUAAAAUAAAUGUGGGGAUAAAAACCACCACAAAAAAAUAUAGAAGGUGAAACUGUCCAUAUAAUUACCAUAUAUAAGGAUAAAGUAAAGACAAUUAUUUGUGCAUUCAUAUCAACACCACAAUCAAAUAAUAUGAUAUUAUUAUACUAAUAUAUUAGUGGAAAGCAAGACAUAUCAUGUUGGCUUUUCUUCUUUUCACUUGCAAUUAAGUUGAACUUGUUGUGUAGAGAAAUAAUAAAAUAAUAAAAAAAAGUAAGAGGCAUAGAGCUUAUCCUUACAGUUGGUUUGCUCGUAUAUCUCUCUUGCAGACCACAGCUCCUCCACUACUUUUCUUCCUUACAUCGACAUAAGGGUUAGUAGUAUAGAUAAUAGUGCAACACAAAAAUUAUACCUGAGAGCUUCUCGUGUUGAUAACGUGUUAUAAAAUAACUGGGAUAUGUGCGAAUAUUGAGCUGCACGUAAAGUAGAUGAGACACAGUAUUUAACGAGGUUCGGUUAUGCCUACGUCCUCGGAGAGCAGUAACAGUAACUUUUCACUAUGUAAAAUAAUAGGGCUACAACUUUGUGUUUACAAUAUGUAUGGCUCACUCAAUUUUCUCUCUUGGAGAAUUUCUCUCUUGCUCUCUUUCCUCUCAACUCACUCACCCUCAUUCUUCCUUCUCUUCCUCUUCUAUAUGUGUAAACUUCUCUUGAUGGAGGUAUCUAUUUAUAGGCCUAAGACAUUGGUUGUUCACCUCACAAUAUAAUUGGUAGACAACAUCAUUAAUAUUCUUCAAUCAACAACAUCAUUAAUAUUCUUCAAUCAAUUGGGUAGUGGUUUGGUUUGGUGGGUGUGUGGUUAGGUUUGGUGGGUGUUAGUUGGCUAUGUGGGCUUCACCUAUUCUUCUUUACUUAUUCUUCU
rnacentral:lncRNA from 1 species